rnacentral:lncRNA from 1 species
CCGCCAUCUCAGAUCUCGGCCUUGCGCAGGGCCCACCAGAGGAAAUUAACGCUCUGGUCCUGUCAUACCUAUGGGGGACCAACCUUGUGCCUCCGGGAGAUCCACGCUCCCACCAGGAAACACGCGGGAACCCAAGCCUCCAAAAAAGCGCUGUGUCCUGGCUCCGCGGUGGGAUUAUCCUGAAGGGACUCCCAGUGGAGGUAGUACCACUCUCCCCUCGGCGCCUCCUCCGGCAUCUACUGGACUCAAGUCGCACCCUCCUCCUCCGGAGAAGUAGUGAAAUAGAUUUUUUUCCCAGACGAAAUCAGUCUGUGAGGGAUUGCAGUAUGGUUCCGUUUCCUUGGUGCGUUUGUAAAAUAGUUUACCCAUUGAAGACCAUGAAGAUUCUUUCCAAUGCUACCCUGCUUUUGCUGGUGUCCUGCACCUGGAAGUUGUGAUGCUAAAGGCUCAUCUUAUAUUUUCUACCCCAUUGACCAUUUCUCUAUUUGACUGUGCCACUGGGAGACCGUAUUUACAAACUGAGGUCUUUCAGGUCUAUGGCUGGAUCAAUGCCCUUGUACUUAUUAAAGGGCCGUCACAUCAACAAAGAGGCCUUUUGGUAUUGUGAACCUUACAAGAAGGAGAGAGUUUGUAUUGUCUUUUCACUGCAUAUGUGAGUUACUGCCCAUUAAAAAGGACUGGAUCCAGG